ensembl:lncRNA
GCUACAAUGGGCAGGAAGUGAGAAACAUCUGGACAGGUGGAAAUACGAGCUCUGCUGAGACGAUCGGACUGAGAGGAAGAGGAGGUACAAUCAGGGAGGAGGAGGAGGAGGAGGAGGAGGGGAGAGGGAGGAGGGGAGAGGGAGGAGAAGGCACAAUCAGGGAGGAGGAGGAGGUGAGGAGGAGGAGGGGAGAUGGAGGAGGAGGGGAGAGGGAGGAGGAGGAGGGGAGGAGGAGGAGGGGAGAGGGAGGAGGAGCUGAUGGAGUAGAGCAGGAGGUGAUGGAGGAGGAGGAGGAGGAGCUGAUGGAGUAGAGCAGGAGGUGAUGGAGGAGGAGUGGAGGGGAGAGGGAGCAGACGAGAGAAGAGGAGAUAGUUGUUGAUAGUCGUGUUCCCGAUGACCACUCAGUAGAAGAAGUACA